rnacentral:lncRNA from 1 species
AUUAUUGUGUUCAGAACAAUCUCUACAUUCUGUAGAUAUGCCAAAUGAGCAAAUCUAGAUACUUUCCAUAAAUAGCAUUUAGGACCGAAAUGAGAUUAACACAAAAAGCAUGAUAGCGAGGGUGUUUGGCAAACAUGGUAAGCUAUCAUUCAACGAUAUUAAGGGAUUAAUUUCAAUACACAAGAGUUUUUGUUAAGCCAGUGCAAAAUAAAUCAAAAGAGAACUAACAAGCCAAACCAAGUAUGCUUGGCUAAAUAAACACUUAGAAAUUCCUUCCUUAUGCUCGUUCGCCCAAGUAUAAAUGCAAAGUCUAGUUCAUGAACAUUUGAACAAGAGGGACUGAUAAAAGGUCCAACAAUACAGACCUUCUACUAUCGUGGCAGUAAGGAAAGAGUGUCCGCAAGGAUUGGUUGAUAGGUAACUUUCGAUACCUAAAGUCGCAUUCACAACAUCAAACAAAAAAAAAAAGGAAAAU